rnacentral:rRNA from 1 species
GACGAACGCUGGCGGCGUGCUUAACACAUGCAAGUCGAACGGAAAGGCCCUGCUUUUGUGGGGUGCUCGAGUGGCGAACGGGUGAGUAACACGUGAGUAACCUGCCCUUGACUUUGGGAUAACUUCAGGAAACUGGGGCUAAUACCGGAUAGGAGCUCCUGCUGCAUGGUGGGGGUUGGAAAGUUUCGGCGGUUGGGGAUGGACUCGCGGCUUAUCAGCUUGUUGGUGGGGUAGUGGCUUACCAAGGCUUUGACGGGUAGCCGGCCUGAGAGGGUGACCGGCCACAUUGGGACUGAGAUACGGCCCAGACUCCUACGGGAGGCAGCAGUGGGGAAUAUUGCACAAUGGGCGGAAGCCUGAUGCAGCAACGCCGCGUGCGGGAUGACGGCCUUCGGGUUGUAAACCGCUUUCGCCUGUGACGAAGCGUGAGUGACGGUAAUGGGUAAAGAGGCACCGGCUGACUACGUG